ACAGAACCAGUAACCGCCCCUGGACAGCCGACAAGGGUCCGAGCAUCCGCAGCCUAAAGUGAACAUCGAUUGAACGCCUCCUGGACGCGUUAGAUGGGAUGCUCCAAUGUGUAUACGUCAGCAGACGUCCCACGUAUGUUACCCUGUGGACACCGUGCGCACCCCAUCCGCAGUGUGUCCACAAAGAGCCGUUUCAGCAUCCCUUUUCGCCCUUCACACUCCAACUCGUUCUUCUCUCCCGGUCUGUCGUCUGACUGCGUCGCCGCCUAGAGCAGAAAUCUGCGCAGAAGGCUUAUUUUUUCCGCAACGCGCAGAAGAGAGAGUCACGUGAUGCCAUAGCCUGUUGUGCGGAUGAUUUCAAACGCCGCUGGAGACGCUGGAGAAACAUGGCGGCGUCUGGAAUGGCUCGGAGUAAUACGGUAAUUUUCAACGCGAACAGCACCAGUACAACUUGAAUUUUGUGAAGAGUUAGGAGCAUAUGCCUUGUACGUAACGGAUUCUCCAUCGGGGGCCAAUGUCUAUGACCCAAAUGCAGGUAAACGGCCGUGGUGCCUUUGUUUCCUAGCGCUCGCGUUUAAGACUCAUUUGUUCUUCAAGUCGCUUUAGCCCACUGGCUAGUGAAAAAAAAAUGCAAUCGAUCCUAGCUGAGCUUGUAAUAUAGGCAUAUUAGCAUUGCGUGCUACUUUUAUUUUGUGGUUCAUUCACUGUGUUCUUGAUGUUCUUUCAGGCAUAAAGGGCUAUACCGCUUAGCAUCGGUCAUUCAUUGCUGCGUGCGUCUCAGCGUCUCACAGAGAGUGUGGAGUGUUUUCUCUAUGAGCAGUCUUGGAAUUAUUUACUGUCUUAUGCGUUACAGUGUGCCUCGGUGGCAGAACUUGGCCAAUGAGUUACAGAGGCCGGAAGACACAGAAAGGAACAAUAUCAAGACACCGGUAGCCAUUCACAAGACGUGAAGGAGCGUGAGGAUACAAUAACGUGGUGAUAUGGUGAUCACGAUCUGUAUGAACUGGAAUGAUCUGGAUAUGGCACCUUGUCACGUGUUUUCAUUAUUUGUACUGCUUAUGUGCCGGCAGGCAUGUACGAAUGCACAUGUAAAUAAAGUCCACAUAGAAAUAAAGUAUUUUGGUUGCA